rnacentral:rRNA from 1 species
CCUACGGGUGACAGCAGUGGGGAAUAUUGCACAAUGGGCGAAACCCUGAUGCAGCGACGCCGCGUGAGUGAUGAAGUAUUUCGGAACGUAAAGCUCUGUCAGCAGGGAAGAAAAUGACGGUAACUGAUUAAGAAGCCCCUGCUAACUACUGGCCAGCAGCCGCGGGAAUACGUAGGGGGCAAGCGUUAUCCGGAUUUACUGUGUGUAAAGGGAGCGUAGACGGCAGUACAAGUCUGGAGUGAAAUGCCGCGGCUUAACCCCGGAACUGCAUUGGAAACUGUGCAGCUAGAGUGCAGGAGAGGUAAGUGGAAUUCCAAGUGUAGCGGUGAAAUGCGCAGAUAUUAGGAGGAACACCAGUGGCGAAGGCGGCUUACUGGACUGUAACUGACGUUGAUGUUCGAAAGCGUGGGGAGCAAACAGGAUUAGAUACCCGAGUAGUC